rnacentral:rRNA from 1 species
GAGCGGUAACAGGUGUAGCAAUACAUGCUGACGAGCGGCGAACGGGUGAGUAAUGCUUCGGAAUCUACCUUAUGGUGGGGAAUAACUAGCCGAAAGGUUAGCUAAUACCGCAUACGUCCUACGGGAGAAAGCAGGGGAUCGCAAGACCUUGCGCCAAAAGAUGAGCCGAAGUCGGAUUAGCUAGUUGGUAGGGUAACGGCCUACCAAGGCGACGAUCCGUAGCUGGUCUGAGAGGACGACCAGCCACACUGGGACUGAGACACGGCCCAGACUCCUACGGGAGGCAGCAGUGGGGAAUAUUGGACAAUGGGGGAAACCCUGAUCCAGCGACGCCGCGUGUGUGAAGAAGGCCUGCGGGUUGUAAAGCACUUUUAGUGGGGAUGAAAUGUGCAGGGCUAACACCUCUGCAUUUUGACCUAACCCACAGAAAAAGCACCGGCUAACUCUGUG